rnacentral:rRNA from 1 species
GCUUACGGCCAUACCACCCUGAGCACGCCUGAUCUCGUCUGAUCUCGGAAGCUAACCAGGGUCGGGCCUGGUUAGUACUUGGAUGGGAAACUGCCUGGGAAUACCACGUGCUGUAAGCU